CCUACGGGAGGCAGCAGUGGGGAAUAUUGCACAAUGGGCGCAAGCCUGAUGCAGCCGUGCCGCGUGUAUGAAGAAGGCCUUCGGGUUGUAAAGUACUUUCAGCGGGGAGGAAGGCGAUAAGGUUAAUAACCUUGUCGAUUGACGUUACCCGCAGAAGAAGCACCGGCUAACUCCGUGCCAGCAGCCGCGGUAAU
rnacentral:rRNA from 1 species